AGUUCUUUAGCUUAAGGGUUAGAGUACAAACUUGAUAAGUCUGUGAUAUAGGUUCGAAUCCUAUAAGAACUA
rnacentral:tRNA from 1 species